CGCCUGUUUAUCAAAAACAUCGCCUCUUGAAAAACAAAAAAUAAGAGGUCCUGCCUGCCCAGUGUGAAUCCUUUCUCAACGGCCGCGGUAUUUUGACCGUGCAAAGGUAGCGUAAUCAUUUGUCUUUUAAAUGAAGACCUGUAUGAAUGGCUAGACGAGGGCUUAACUGUCUCCUUUUUCAGGUCAAUGAAAUUGAUCUCCCCGUGCAAAAGCGGGGAUAUAUCCAUAAGACGAGAAGACCCUAUGGAGCUUUAGAUGCCACAGCAAGCAUAGCUGCUACAUCCAAAUAAAGGAUGUAUCCACUAGCUUCUGCCUCAACAUCUUCGGUUGGGGUGACCAUGGGGAACAAAAAACCCCCACGUCUCUGUACUGGAGUCUCUAUUAAAACCUAACAGACUCUUUCAAACAAGAGCCGCCGCUCUACUUAACAGAAUUUCUGACCACUGAUCCGGCAAUGCCGAUUAACGAACCCAGUUACCCUAGGGAUAACAGCGCAAUCCCCUUUUAGAGUCCAUAUCGAUAAGGGGGCUUACGACCUCGAUGUUGGAUCAGGACAUCCUAAUGGUGAAGCUGCUAUUAAGGGUUCGUUUGUUCAACGAUUAAAGUCCUACGUGAUCUGAGUUCAGACCGG
rnacentral:rRNA from 1 species